GAUGAACGCUGGCGGUAUGCUUAACACAUGCAAGUCGAACGGAAUCUUAGGAUUCAGUGGCGGACGGGUGAGUAACGCGUGAGAAUCUGGCUCUAGGUCGGGGACAACAGUUGGAAACGACUGCUAAUACCGGAUGUGCCGAGAGGUGAAAGAUUUAUUGCCUAGAGAUGAGCUCGCGUCUGAUUAGCUAGUUGGUGUGGUAAGAGCGCACCAAGGCGACGAUCAGUAGCUGGUCUGAGAGGAUGAUCAGCCACACUGGGACUGAGACACGGCCCAGACUCCUACGGGAGGCAGCAGUGGGGAAUUUUCCGCAAUGGGCGAAAGCCUGACGGAGCAAUACCGCGUGAGGGAGGAAGGCUCUUGGGUUGUAAACCUCUUUUCUCAAGGAAUAAGAAAGUGAAGGUACUUGAGGAAUAAGCAUCGGCCAACUCCGUGCCAGCAGCCGCGGUAAUACGGAGGAUGCAAGCGUUAUCCGGAAUGAUUGGGCGUAAAGGGUCCGCAGGUGGCAAUGUAAGUCUGCUGUUAAAGAAUGAGGCUGAACCUCAUCAAGGCAGUGGAAACUACAUAGCUAGAGUACGGUCGGGGUAGAAGGAAUUCCUGGUGUAGCGGUGAAAUGCGUAGAGAUCAGGAAGAACACCGGUGGCGAAAGCGUUCUGCUAGGCCUGUACUGACACUGAGGGACGAAAGCUAGGGGAGCGAAUGGGAUUAGAUACCCCAGUAGUCCUAGCCGUAAACGAUGGAUACUAGGCGUGGCUUGUAUCGACCCGAGCCGUGCCGGAGCCAACGCGUUAAGUAUCCCGCCUGGGGAGUACGCACGCAAGUGUGAAACUCAAAGGAAUUGACGGGGGCCCGCACAAGCGGUGGAGUAUGUGGUUUAAUUCGAUGCAACGCGAAGAACCUUACCAAGACUUGACAUGUCGCGAAUCCUCUUGAAAGGGAGGAGUGCCUUCGGGAGCGCGAACACAGGUGGUGCAUGGCUGUCGUCAGCUCGUGUCGUGAGAUGUUGGGUUAAGUCCCGCAACGAGCGCAACCCUCGUUCUUAGUUGCCAGCAUUAAGUUGGGCACUCUAGAGAGACUGCCGGUGACAACCGGAGGAAGGUGGGGAUGACGUCAAGUCAGCAUGCCCCUUACGUCUUGGGCUACACACGUACUACAAUGCUACGGACAGAGGGCAGCUAAACAGCGAUGUUAAGCAAAUCCCGUAAACCGUAGCUCAGUUCAGAUCGCAGGCUGCAACUCGCCUGCGUGAAGGAGGAAUCGCUAGUAAUUGCAGGUCAGCAUACUGCAGUGAAUUCGUUCCCGGGCCUUGUACACACCGCCCGUCACACCAUGGAAGCUGGCAACGCCCGAAGUCAUUACUCCAACUUUUCGGAGAGGAGGAUGCCUAAGGCAGUGCUGGUGACUGGGGUGAA
rnacentral:rRNA from 1 species